rnacentral:rRNA from 1 species
AACGAACGCUGGCGGCAUGCCUAACACAUGCAAGUCGAACGAGACCUUCGGGUCUAGUGGCGCACGGGUGCGUAACGCGUGGGAACCUGCCCUUAGGUUCGGAAUAACUCCCCGAAAGGGGUGCUAAUACCGGAUAAUGUCUUCGGACCAAAGAUUUAUCGCCUUUGGAUGGGCCCGCGUUGGAUUAGCUAGUUGGUAGGGUAAAAGCCUACCAAGGCGACGAUCCAUAGCUGGUCUGAGAGGAUGAUCAGCCACACUGGGACUGAGACACGGCCCAGACUCCUACGGGAGGCAGCAGUGGGGAAUAUUGGACAAGGGGGGAAGGCCUGAUCCAGCAAUGCCGGGUGAGUGAUGAAGGCCUUAGGGUUGUAAAGCUCUUUUACCCGGGAUGAUAAUGACAGUACCGGGAGAAUAAGCUCCGGCUAACUCCGUG